GUUCCAAUAGCCCAGUCUGUGAAUCGACACUUGUGUUGAAUUGUGGAAUGACGGUUGGUUUGCCCAACUAGCAGGCCAAGUCCCCUGGAAUGGGGCAGCACAGAGGGUGAGACUCCCGUAUGUCUGCUGGUGUGAGGACCAACCCAAGAGUCGAGUUGUUUGGGAUUGCAGCUCUAAGUGGGUGGUAAAUUCCAUCCAAGGCUAAAUACUGGUGAGAGACCGAUAGUAUACAAGUACCGUGAGGGAAAGAUGCAAAGCCGCGCGAGAGCGCUGUCAAAGAGUACCUGAAAUUGCUGAAAAGGAAGCGAAGGAAACUAGUGCCAACCAACCUGCACUUCUGGAACUGCUUGCAGUUUUGGCGC
rnacentral:rRNA from 1 species